ACGAACGCUGGCGGCGUGCCUAAUACAUGCAAGUAGAACGCUGAAGAGAGGAGCUUGCUCUUCUUGGAUGAGUUGCGAACGGGUGAGUAACGCGUAGGUAACCUGCCUGGUAGCGGGGGAUAACUAUUGGAAACGAUAGCUAAUACCGCAUAAAAUUGAUUAUUGCAUGAUAGUCAAUUGAAAGGUGCAACUGCACCACUACCAGAUGGACCUGCGUUGUAUUAGCUAGUUGGUGGGGUAACGGCUCACCAAGGCGACGAUACAUAGCCGACCUGAGAGGGUGAUCGGCCACACUGGGACUGAGACACGGCCCAGACUCCUACGGGAGGCAGCAGUAGGGAAUCUUCGGCAAUGGACGGAAGUCUGACCGAGCAACGCCGCGUGAGUGAAGAAGGUUUUCGGAUCGUAAAGCUCUGUUGUAAGAGAAGAACGAGUGUGAGAGUGGAAAGUUCA
rnacentral:rRNA from 1 species